ensembl:lncRNA
AUGUCUAAAACUGGGCAAGAUGAUUUGCUUACCGAUUAUUAUUUUUCAGUUUGCCGUAAUUAUAAUUCUGACGCUAUGAAGUCGUCGUGGAAAAAAACCAAACACCUAAACCAGAUUAACCUGUGGAAGGAGGGCGUGGAAAUGGCAAAUUCAUCAAAGUUUUUACAAGGAGGUGUUUCCAUGCGUUGCCAUUGUUUGACGUUGCUAAGCGCUCGGGUCCCGCUCGCCUUCUCCCCUCGGCACUGGGAGCAUCGUCCAUGGGGUGCCCCUGCCAUGGGGCUGGGAGCAUCCCCAGGGUUCUGCGGCCAGCUCCGUGCAGGGGUGUGGAGCCUGGGCGGGCAGCACAUUUCCAAGCCUGUCGCUGGCUAUUUGCUGCUUUACAUCCCUGGGACUCUCCAGUGAGCUGCUAAUACUCAGAGGAAUAGCCAACUCAUGCUGGCCUUGACGUGCAGCGAAAUGCAAGUGGAUAGAACAAGAGGCAGCACAGAGCCACCACAGCCAGGACUGAUGCUCAGCUUCGAGGGUCUUUGGACUGCCAAAAUACAAGGGUUUUGUAUUUGAUGAUUUGGAUAUUCAGAUUUGUGAUAUCAGUGACCUUAGAAAUGCAGGCAGCAGGCUCCUGCAGCAAGCUUGCACUGCACGGGUGUUCCUUAAACCCAGCAGCUGGUCACUUUUCCUAGGGCUUUUUCUUUGGCUGGGGAUAGGAAGUGGGCUCUUCUGCAUGAGCAGUGAGCAUAGUGACCACCAGAGCUCCCCUGGCACCAGGUUUUACAACUGGCUUCCUGAGACAGGAUGCUCAGAGAGACCUGUCUACACUUCCCACCACACUGUAUUGAAAUUAGUCUGCGCUUUCUAUGUAGAGGGAAAAUAAGUGCUCCUGCUUUCUGGCUCUUUUUUCUUCUUACACUUUGGAGCCCAAGGUAGCUGCAUUUAGCAGCUUUAAUAUCCUUUCAUUGCUGCUGCUUGCAGGGUUGUGGUCACUCAGGCAGCAGUAACUUUGAAAAAAUGACCCGUCUACACCCAAACAAUAACAGAAUCCCCCUUUUUAUGUUGGCAACGCCCCCUGCUUUCUGUUCGCUCCGGGACUCCCCACGUAGACGCAACUGUUUGACCAGCCUUCUUCAGAACAACUUAAUUAAGCAAAAGAAAAAGUGUCAGUUUCUGCCAACCCUGCAGAAACAGAACCGUGGGGGUAAAAAGGGUAUGUGGCAUUAACCCGCAUUCCUGAGCGGACUAACGAAGGCAGCCCCUUGCGGCUCUGCUGGGCACGUCCCAUUGGGGCUGCCGGGAUCAGAGCGUUGCUUACCCAUAUCCCACAGGUGCUGUCGUCCCCUCAAACUGCAGGGCAUUUUUCUGAGGAUCCAAGCAGAUUUUGGAACAGCAUGGAAACGGGAGCCCCUUUCUUCCCUGUCAGAGAGGGAUGUGGGUUCAGCAGGCCAAAUUGCUUGCCCUCUUGCCACAGCCUUCCUCCUUCUCCCCUGUGCUGAAAGCCUGUUGUGCACAUAGCCUUCCACUCCUGCGAAACCUCUCCUCCCCAAACUAACAAAAUUCUGGGAGAGGGUAGCACAAAUUAGACUCAGUGAUCCUUAUGAGUCCCUUCCAACUCAUGAUAUUCUAUGGUUCUGUGAUUCUAUGAAUUUCUUUUGCUUCAGAGACUGGAUCUGCUCCACGAGCAUCAGAGCAUCCUCUUCUUAGGCUGGCAGAAUGCCCCCUGCCCAGCCAGCUGCUCUCUGUCCAAGGAAAGGGAUGAGGCUUUCACCACAAGUGCUUCAAGGGCCUGAGUUUUCAUUAUGGGCUCCAAGGGAAAGAAGUUGCUCUUAGUUGAGGAGGGGACUAUGGAACAGAACUGUCUCCCUGAGUUAUGUUCUCCCCUUCUGUCUUUGUCUCCAUUAAAAGAGCAUAAAUUCAUUUUAGGCUACAGUUUGGCAAAGGUCGGAGGCUGAUUUGACUUUGCACAGUGUGCCUACUGCCUUCGAGAUCAAUGAGCCGGCUGUUCACCCCGCACAAACAGAGCACGCAAGUGGGUCUUUGAAGGACCAUGGCUUUAUUCGGAAGAGAGUUAGGAUUGCAUUGUUUCUUUUUCAGAUAAACACUGCAUGUUGCUUGUGUGCUGCCCUAUGCUCUCCUACCCCAACCACCUCUUUUCUGCAGUGGUAGAUGGUAGGCAGGAGACUGUGUGCUUCUGAGCAGCCAUCUUGUCCUCAAAACAAACCAGGAAUUUUUUAAAUAAUAAAAAUUAUCAAAGGAAAUCA